GGAUGUGAGGGCGAUCUGGCUGCGACAUCUGUUACCCCAUUGAUCGCCAGGGUUGAUUCGGCCCAUCUGGCUGGCUAGGCCGGCGUCCCCUUCCUCCCUCACCGCUCCAUGUGCUUCCCUCCCGAAGCUGCGUGCUCCGUCGAAGAGGACAACCUUCCCUGGUAGAAGAUAGUACCGUUUGGGAAAGGUAUAUGAGUAGCUGCGCUCCCCUGCUCCAACCUGCAAACAAGCUCUCAAAUCUGUUAGACAGCAGUUAUUUGAUUUAUAAAUUAGUUCUCAUCUUACAACUCCAAAAUUAAUAUCACUCUUUUUUAGAAUUUAUUAUUUUUU
rnacentral:snRNA from 1 species